AUGCAGCAUGGUUCUACAAUGGAGAAAGAACCUGGACGAGACCAUAGAUUCAAUCUGAUUGAAUUCAAUUCAACAAGACUCCUAGGUCUCCUAAGACUCUGUGUUGCAGAGAAGGUACAUGAAUACAGGGUCUUCCUCCCUAUAUUCCUUCCUUUCCUUUCUUUCUUUCUUUCUUUCUUUCUUUCUUUCUUUUCCUUCCUUCCUUCCUUCCUUUCUUUCUUUCUUUCUUUCUUCCUUUCUUUCUUUCUUUCUUUCUUUCUUUCUUUCUUUCUUUCUUUCUUUCUUUCUUUCUUUCUUUCUUUCUUUCUUUCUUUCUUUCUUUCUUUCUUUCUUUCUUUCUUUCUUUCUUUCUUUCUUUCUUUCUUUCUUCCUUCCUUCCUUCCUUCCUUUCUUCCUUCCUUCUCUCCUUCCUUCCUUCCUUCCUUCCUUUCUUCCUUCCUUCUCUCCUUCCUUCCUUCCUUCCUUCCAUCCUUCUCUCCUGNNNNNNNNNNNNNNNNNNNNNNNNNNUUUCUUUCUUUCUUUAUUUCUUUCUUUCAUUCAUUCUUUCUUUCAUUCUUUCUUUCUUUCUUUCUCUGUCUAUCCCCCCUCUCUCUGUCUCUCUAUCUUUCUCCUUCUCUCUUUCUCCCUCCCUCUCUCUCUCUUUCUUUCUCUGUCUAUCCCCCCUCUCUCUGUCUCUCUAUCUUUCUCCUUCUCUCUUUCUCCCUCCCUCUCUCUCUCUCUCUCUCUCUCUCUCUCUCUCUCUCUUUCUUUCUUUCUUUCUUUCUUUCUUUCUUUCUUUCUUUCUUUCUUUCUUCACCCAUGGUGGGUAUAAACAGGCUGUAGCACAUGCCAGUUGCCAAUAGCACAUAAAAUGGGUGAUCUCCCCAACAACUUAAUGAGUGAAAAGGAAGUGAUGGAUGAUGUAGCAAGAGGAAGGGAUAGAUGCUAACCAGUGUGCAGUCCUGGCACUCGGAUAAUUCCAAGAGAGUUAGAGGAAGUUCCUGCUGAAUGUUGGGAGGAACCUCAGGACAGUUUUAAGGGAGAACCUGGACAAGAAGGGAAUGGGAUUACAAAAUAUGAAUGACUUGUGUUCUGGGAUGCCUUAGGAGGCAGUGAGCUCCCCAUCAAUGGAUUUUCUUGAGCAGAAGUUAUGUGACCAUUUAUCAAAAAUGCCACAGAGGGAUUCCCAUUUGAGCCAGUCAGUCAGACUGACAGUUUGGGUAUGUAUUGGCCCAGACAGUCUCUGAGGUCUCUUCUAGCUCUGGAGAAAAUAUACAGGGAUGUUAGCCUACAGCUACUAGAGUAGGCUGGCUGUCUGCCAAUUUUUACCCACUUGGUCCCAUGCAUCAGGAAUGCAUUCUGUACAUACCUGUGCCUUGUCAGAUUUCUUUGUUGUUGUUCCAAAGUAUUCAAUGCUUUCUGACCCCAUUUGGGAUUUUUUGGCAAAGAUACUGGAAUGGUUUGCCAUGUCCUUCUCCAGUUCAUUUGACAGAUGAGGAAAAAGAAGCAAAGAGGGUUAAGUGACUUGCCCAGGGUCACACAGCUAGUAUGUAAUGGAGGCUGAAUUUGAAUUCAUGAAUAUAAGGCUUCCUGGCUCUAGACCUAGGACCCUGACCACUGGACCACCUAGCUGCCCUGGCAAAUCUCUGGUAUCCUUUAAAACGUAGCUCAGGUACCACCUGUCCCAUAAAGCCUUUCCUGAUCCCCCCAAGGAGUCCGCCCAGUAUAUUGCUUGGCAUCCCAUAUAUGCUGUGUCUCCCAGAUAAACACAAACUCUUCCACCCCUUCAAAGCUAAUGUCCAGCAGGCUUCUGUCCUCUGCCCCUUCCUCUGAUUGGUCAGUU
rnacentral:lncRNA from 1 species